rnacentral:rRNA from 1 species
CCUACGGGUGGCUGCAGUGGGGAUUAUUGGACAAUGGGGGGAACCCUGAUCCAGCCAUGCCGCGUGUGUGAAGAAGGCCCUCGGGUUGUAAAGCACUUUCAGUGAGGAAGAACGCCUGGUGGUUAAUACCCAUCAGGAAAGACAUCACUCACAGAAGAAGCACCGGCUAACUCCGUGCCAGCAGCCGCGGUAAUACGGAGGGUGCGAGCGUUAAUCGGAAUUACUGGGCGUAAAGCGCGCGUAGGUGGCUUGAUAAGCCGGUUGUGAAAGCCCCGGGCUCAACCUGGGAACGGCAUCCGGAACUGUCAAGCUAGAGUGCAGGAGAGGAAGGUAGAAUUCCCGGUGUAGCGGUGAAAUGCGUAGAGAUCGGGAGGAAUACCAGUGGCGAAGGCGGCCUUCUGGACUGACACUGACACUGAGGUGCGAAAGCGUGGGUAGCAAACAGGAUUAGAUACCCGAGUAGUC